rnacentral:sRNA from 1 species
GCCGGGUGUGGUGGCACAAACCUGUAAUCCCAGUAGUUUGGGAGGCUGAGGCAGAAGGAUUGCAAGUUGGAGUCUCAGCAAUUUAGUGAGGCCCUAAGCAAUUCAGCAAGACUCUGUCUCAA